UGAAGACAUGGAACAUCAUAGAGGGAAGGAAAAGUGGGAAAAUAUUGAAUGAUGCCAAUACAUUCAGAAGAAAUGUGUCCAGAGAUGUCAGAACUGCUUCCUGCAGUCCCAGAGUCAACUCCUAUAACCACCAUGGAGGAGGCCCCAAAAGCUGAUAAUACUUCACAGCCACAAGUCUCACCUGCCCAGCAGAGGGACACCCCCGGUCUGGAAAGAUGUUAUCGCACAAGAGUCACGAACAUAUCAAUCAUCCCUGCUGUGGAACCACUUCUACAAAGAAGAGAUCUGUAUGCUCCACGACCACUGGACUCAGUGUGCACAUGUAGGAGGGGACUAUGUUGAAAAAUAAAUAUGCCAGGUUUUUUAAAAUUGACUCCUUCUACUUUAGGCCACAGACUUAUCGAUCACUCUGUGUGUGUGUGUGUGUGUUUGUGUGUGUGUGUGCAUGCAUGUGUGUGUGUGU